rnacentral:RNase_P_RNA from 1 species
CUUGUGGAGCAGAUAUCUACUUUGGGGAGAAUACAUUUUUCUAAAGAGGAAAGUCUGGACACCAUGAGGCAAUCAUAGAAGAUAACGACUUCGGAUUGAGAAUAUAAUUCAUAAAUCUCAAUUACCAACAGUGCCAUAGAGACUAUACUAGAGUUUUAUACUUGAAAGGUGAAAAGUCAUUUUGUGUAUUGCAUUAUUACUAUGAGAAAUAUUUUUCAUGUGAUUUUGUACUGCGAUAGAUGAAAAAUUUGAAAAAAUUUUUGGUAAACUGUAUGAGGUGCAAUGGGAAUGGUAUUUUUAUUUUAUUGAAUGCCUCUAGUUGUAGGAUAAAAAUAUACCCAGCUUGAACUUUUUGGUGACAAAAAGUCUAGAUAGAUUGAUAUCGAGGUACAGAAUCCGGCUUAUUACUCCUGCAAGUCCU